rnacentral:rRNA from 1 species
UACGUAGGGGGCAAGCGUUGUCCGGAUUUAUUGGGCGUAAAGAGCGUGUAGGCGGCCAAGCAGGUCCGCUGUGAAAACUCGAGGCUCAACCUCGAGACGUCGGUGGAAACCGUUUGGCUAGAGUCCGGAAGAGGAGAGUGGAAUUCCCGGUGUAGCGGUGAAAUGCGCAGAUAUCGGGAAGAACACCCGUGGCGAAGGCAGCCCCCUGGGCUGAGAUUGACGCUCAGGCACGAAAGCGUGGGGAGCAAACAGG